AGUCAGUUUAUACAUUCAUCUGAUCACUAGAGGGAGUGAAGAAUCACUUCAGUUCAUUCAAACUGUGCUGUGAAACAAACCAUGAUCUCUUCAUCUUUACUGUUGCUUCUGGCAGUGAUAUCCUGUAUUGAUUCAAAUGAACUCACUCAGCCUGAGUCUCUGACUGUCCGUCCUGAUGCCACUCUCACUAUCAACUGUAAAGUCUCAUAUUCAGUUACAAGCUAUGGUACAGGCUGGAUUCGUCAGCCUGCAGGAAAAGCUCUGGAGUGGAUUGGAUUAAUUGAAAGUGAUGGAGACUUAUUCUACAAGGAUUCACUGAGAAGCAAGUUCAGUAUCACCAGAGACACUUCCAGUAACACAAUAACACUGCAAGGAAACAAUAUGAAAGCUGAAGACACAGCUGUGUAUUAUUGUGCCAGACAAACACAGUGACAGACGCCAACAGAC